GACGUAGGUGGCGAACGUUAUCCGGAAUUACUGGGCGUAAAGGGCGCGUAGGCGGCCAUCUAAGUCAGACGUGAAAUCCCCCGGCUUAACCUGGGAACUGCGUCUGAUACUGGACGGCUUGAGUAUGGGAGAGGGAUGUAGAAUUCCAGGUGUAGCGGUGAAAUGCGUAGAUAUCUGGAGGAAUACCGGUGGCGAAGGCGGCAUCCUGGACCGGUACUGACGCUGAGGAGCGAAAGCGUGGGGAGCAAACAGG
rnacentral:rRNA from 1 species